UACGUAGGUGGCAGGCGUUAUCCGGAAUUAUUGGGCGUAAAGAGCGCGCAGGUGGUUGAUUAAGUCUGAUGUGAAAGCCCGCGGCUUAACCGUGGAGGGUCAUUGGAAACUGGUCGACUUGAGUGCAGAAGAGGGAAGUGGAAUUCCAUGUGUAGCGGUGAAAUGCGUAGAGAUAUGGAGGGACACCAGUGGCGAAGGCGGCUUCCUGGUCUGUAACUGACACUGAGGCACGAAAGCGUGGGGAGCAAACAGGAUUAGAUA
rnacentral:rRNA from 1 species